CGACCGGCGCACGGGUGAGUAACGCGUAUCCAACCUGCCCACCACUUGGGAUAACCUUGCGAAAGUAAGACUAAUACCCAAUGAUAUCUCUAGAAGACAUCUGAAAGAGAUUAAAGAUUUAUCGGUGAUGGAUGGGGAUGCGUCUGAUUAGCUUGUUGGCGGGGUAACGGCCCACCAAGGCGACGAUCAGUAGGGGUUCUGAGAGGAAGGUCCCCCACAUUGGAACUGAGACACGGUCCAA
rnacentral:rRNA from 1 species